GAUGAAGAACGCAGCGAAAUGCGAUAAGUAAUGUGAAUUGCAGAAUUCCGUGAAUCAUCGAGUCUUUGAACGCACAUUGCGCCCCCUGGUAUUCCGGGGGGCAUGCCUGUCCGAGCGUCAUUGCUGCCCUCAAGCACGGCUUGUGUGUUGGGCCUCCGUCCUCCUCCCGGGGGACGGGCCCGAAAGGCAGCGGCGGCACCGCGUCCGGUCCUCGAGCGUAUGGGGCUUCGUCACCCGCUCUUGUAGGCCCGGCCGGCGCUUGCCGACACAUCAAUCUUUUUUCCAGGUUGACCUCGGAUCAGGUAGGGAUACCCGCUGAACUUAAGCAUAUCAAUAAGCGGAGGA
rnacentral:misc_RNA from 1 species